UACCAGCACCCCGAGUGGUCGGGACGUUUAUUGGGCCUAAAGCAUCCGUAGCCGGUUCUACAAGUCUUCCGUUAAAUCCACCUGCUUAACAGAUGGGCUGCGGAAGAUACUAAUGGAGCUAGGAGGCGGGAGAGGCGAAGCGGUACUCGAUGGGUAGGGGUAAAAUCCGUUGAUCCAUUGAAGACCACCAGUGGCGAAGGCGGCUUGCCAGAACGCGCUCGACGGUGAGGGAUGAAAGCUGGGGGAGCAAACCGG
rnacentral:rRNA from 1 species